UUAUUGGGUAAUGACUAUGCU
rnacentral:siRNA from 1 species